UUGCCAUCAAAGGACAGUUAUCGCGUAAACUUUGACAGUUCUAAUUUGAAGUUUAUUUUAAUGGUAUUUUAGUUUACAAUUAUGCUACUUCCAUCUGCAGCCCAUUACAAGAUUGCAGGACUCAUCACGCGUGAGUAAUUUACGCCCUCUGCUGGUCACUGCCAAAUAGUGCAAGCUACUUUGUAUUUUGCCUCAAUUUCUUCACCACAAUACUUCAUUUAAAAAUUAAAGAGAUAGAAACCAAUUUAUUAUGCACAUUAUAGAAUGAACUUUAGAUUGAGAGCGAAUUGCAUUUGUAAAAAAAUACAAAUAUGGAAUAUUUUGCGAUGGAAGGCGUGUACUCACCGGACUAGCUGUAACUGUGAAGCCCUCCACUGCAGCACAGAGAGGGCCUCACUCCAAGACUUUAUAUCUUGACUGUCCCACUCUUCUGUCUUCAGCACCAGGGACCCACAAACCAGGCGACUGACGGGACAGAGACAUUUACGUCAAUAAGCUCAGGAGACCUAUACAGACUUGAUAGUGCACAAAGACAGAUGACCACAGAUCGGAAGCAGAGUGAUGACGGAAAGGGAAGCUGUCGUCACAGCCGGAGCGGAAGCACGCCUCCCUGACUGGACAUUCCUGUUGAGGACUUUUUAGAAUGUUGCUGAAGGUGACGUAACUGACGUGAGCUUCUGUUUCAGUCUGCCUUUCUUCAAACACACUCGCUCACACGCGCGCACACUCACACACACAGUCCUGACAGUCAUCUUGUGCUUGUGAUCAACAACACGUGACUCACAACAAGAGACUGUUUCGUCACUCUAAAGUAAAAGCUUCUGGUAAAGGUUGCUCGUGUGUGUGUCACCACU